UAGGGAAUCUUCCGCAAUGGACGCAAGACUGACGGAGCAACGCCGCGUGAGUGAAGAAGGAUUUCGGUUCGUAAAACUCUGUUGUUAGAGAAGAACAGCGCAUAGAGUAACUGUUAUGCGUGUGACGGUAUCUAACCAGAAAGCCACGGCUAACUACGUGCUAGCAGCCGCGGUAAUACGUAGGUGGCAAGCGUUGUCCGGAUUUAUUGGGCGUAAAGCGAGCGCAGGCGGUCAAUUAAGUCUGAUGUGAAAGCCCCCGGCUCCACCGGGGAGGGUCAUUGGAAACUGGUUGACUUGAGUGCAGAAGAGGAGAGUGGAAUUCCAUGUGUAGCGGUGAAAUGCGUAGAUAUAUGGAGGACCACCAGUGACGAAGGCGACUCUCUGGUCUGUAACUGACGCUGAGGCUCGAAAGCGUGGGUAGCAAACAGG
rnacentral:rRNA from 1 species